rnacentral:rRNA from 1 species
UACAGAGGUGGCAAACGUUGUCCGGAUUUAUUGGGUGUAAAGGGCAUGUAGGUGGUCUUGUAAGUCAAAGGUGAAAUGGCCCGGCUCAACCAGGUCAUUGCCUUUGAAACUGCAGGACUUGAGUACGGAAGAGGAAAGCGGAAUUCCCAGUGUAGCGGUGAAAUGCGUAGAUAUUGGGAGGAACACCGGUGGCGAAGGCGGCUUUCUGGUCCGAAACUGACACUGAGAUGCGAAAGCCAGGGGAGCAAACGGG